rnacentral:rRNA from 1 species
GACGAACGCUGGCGGCGUGCUUAACACAUGCAAGUCGAACGGAAAGGCCUGCUUUCCCUUGUGGAUUGCGGGUACUCGAGUGGCGAACGGGUGAGUAACACGUGAGUGAUCUGCCCCCAACUUGGGUAUAAGCCUGGGAAACUGGGUCUAAUUCCCGAUAGGACUGCAGGGUGGUGCCUGUGGUGGAAAACGAUUUUCUAGUGGUUGGGGAUGAGCUCGCGGCCUAUCGGCUUGUUGGUGGGGUAAUGGCCUACCAAGGCGGCGACGGGUAGCCGGCCUGAGAGGGUGGACGGCCACAUUGGGACUGAGAUACGGCCCAGACUCCUACGGGAGGCAGCAGUGGGGAAUAUUGUACAAUGGGCGGAAGCCUGAUGCAGCGACGCCGCGUGGGGGAUGACGGCCUUCGGGUUGUAAACUCCUUUCGACCGCGAGGAAGCCACCUGGUUGGAAGGGUGGUGACGGUAGUGGUAGAAGAAGCACCGGCUAACUACGUG